rnacentral:tRNA from 1 species
GGGUGGGUGGCUCAGUGGUUAGAGCCUAGGGCUAAGGACCAAAAGGUCUCAGGUUCGAAUCUCGCAAGAGGCA